rnacentral:rRNA from 1 species
AGGACAAACGCUGGCGGCGUACCUAAGACAUGCAAGUCGAACGGAGUUGUCACUUUCGGGUGAGAGCUGAGUGGCGAACGGGUGAGUAACACGUGGGAACCUGUCGCGCAGUGGGGGAUAACGCGGGGAAACCGGCGCUAAGACCGCAUGUGGUUCUCCUGUUGAAGGAGGAAGAAAACCGUGGAGACACGGUGCUGUGUGAGGGGCCCGCGGCCGAUUAGCUGGUUGGUGGGGUAACGGCCUACCAAGGCAUCGAUCGGUAGCUGGUCUGAGAGGAUGUCCAGCCACACUGGGACUGAGACACGGCCCAGACUCCUACGGGAGGCAGCAGUUAGGAAAUUUUCCCAAUGGGCGCAAGCCUGAGGGAGUAACGCCGCGUGGGGGAUGACGGCUUUCGGGUUGUAAACCCCUUUCUGUGGGACGAGCAGAAGACGGUACCACAGGAAGAAGCCUCGGCUAACUACGUGCCAGCAGCCGC